rnacentral:rRNA from 1 species
CCUACGGGCGGCUGCAGUGGGGAAUAUUGGACAAUGGGGGGAACCCUGAUCCAGCCAUGCCGCGUGUGUGAAGAAGGCCCUCGGGUUGUAAAGCACUUUCAGUGAGGAAGAACGCCUGGUGGUUAAUACCCAUCAGGAAGACAUCACUCACAGAAGAAGCACCGGCUAACUCCGUGCCAGCAGCCGCGGUAAUACGGAGGGUGCGAGCGUUAAUCGGAAUUACUGGGCGUAAAGCGCGCGUAGGUGGCUUGAUAAGCCGGUUGUGAAAGCCCCGGGCUCAACCUGGGAACGGCAUCCGGAACUGUCAAGCUAGAGUGCAGGAGAGGAAGGUAGAAUUCCCGGUGUAGCGGUGAAAUGCGUAGAGAUCGGGAGGAAUACCAGUGGCGAAGGCGGCCUUCUGGACUGACACUGACACUGAGGUGCGAAAGCGUGGGUAGCAAACAGGAUUAGAUACCCCGGUAGUC